rnacentral:rRNA from 1 species
UACGUAGGUGGCAAGCGUUGUCCGGAUUUAUUGGGUUUAAAGGGUGCGUAGGCGGCCUAUUAAGUCAGUGCUGAAAUACCCCGGCUUAACCGGGGGGGUGGCAUUGAUACUGAUGGGCUUGAGUACAGAUGAGGUAGGCGGAAUUGACGGUGUAGCGGUGAAAUGCAUAGAUAUCGUCAAGAACACCUAUAGCGAAGGCAGCUUACUGGGCUGUAACUGACGCUGAGGCGCGAAAGCUAGGGGAGCAAACGGG